UCCGUAGGUGAACCUGCGGAAGGAUCAUUAAAAAAAGAGAAACGUCCCGUUUUUUUCAUAAGAAUGGGUUCUAUUCCCUUAAACCGUGUCUACGUACCCUUGUUGCUUUGGCAGGCCGCCUUCGGGCGUCGGCUCCGGCUGAUAGUGCCUGCCAGAGGACCCAAACUCUAUGUUUAGUGAUGUCUGAGUACUAUAUAAUAUUUAAAACUUUCAACAACGGAUCUCUUGGUUCUGGCAUCGAUGAAGAACGCAGCGAAAUGCGAUAAGUAAUGUGAAUUGCAGAAUUCAGUGAAUCAUCGAAUCUUUGAACGCACAUUGCGCCCCUUGGUAUUCCGAGGGGCAUGCCUGUUCGAGCGUCAUUAUAACCACUCAAGCCUGGCUUGGUAUUGGGGUUUUCGCGUGUUCGCGGCCCUUAAAAUCAGUGGCGGUGCCGUCUGGCUCUAAGCGUAGUAAUUUCUCUCGCUAUAGGGUUCCGGUGGUUACUUGCCAAAACCCCCCAUUUUUUCUAGGUUGACCUCGGAUCAGGUAGGGAUACCCGCUGAACUUAAGCAUAUC
rnacentral:rRNA from 1 species